GUCUUUUUAGGGCUGCACCUGUGGCAUACAGAAGUUCCCAGGCUAGGAUCUAAUUGGAACUAUAGCUGCCUGCCUACAUCACAGCCACAGCAACUCCAGCUCUGAGCCAGGUUUCCAAUCUACACCACAGCUCACAGCAGCACUGGAUCCUUGGCUCACUGAGCAAGACCAGGGAUCAAACCCACAGGGAGAGAGGAAGAGUGACAGAGAAUCUACUCAUGCAAAAACUAUUUAAUCAAAGAGGAAAGACAAUUAUAACAUAUGUUAAUCUUCUGCAGAGGUUAUAAUUAAAUGCUUUGGAGAACCACCCUUUCCAGGGUGAUCCUCCAACAUCUGUUGUGAAGACACAUGGCACUGUGCAGUGAAAAACCACUUCAGCACUUGGGGGACUUCUGGGGACCUCAGGCACUGCCAGGGUCCUUGUGCUUGAAGCCCAGACCCACUCCCACUGUCCUGUAGGAGGUGCUUUGCUCCUGAGUGCUCUUCCAGAUUGUCCCUGCUGUGCGUCACAUUGCAGUCACCAUGUGUUCAAACAGGAUCUCAGGGCCAGAAGUGGUCUUGUGACUAUCUGAUCCCUUUCCCUUCAUGUUUGCAGAUGGGGCUACUUGAUCCUAUGUCCUAGAGCUGGCUUGCCCUACAGCAGGGCUGUUUAAUUCUCUGUGGAGAUUUCACUCUACUCCACCAUGCCCCACUUGCUCUGGCGUUUUUUUUCUUACGUUGGCUUGGAAUUUGGAUGUGUUCUUUGUUUAACAGGAUCAGCAUUAUAAUGAGGUCCUAGGGUAUUUGAAGUUUGUGGAGAGGUAGACAGAUGAAAUGAUUCUCUUCUCCAUCAUGUGGUCCAUCGCCAGUGAGAAACAUGGACUAUCAUCACUAUUCCUCUACUUGGCUUUCUGGAGAGUAGGAGAGAAAGGAGAGGUGACUUAAGAUAAAGAAGGAGAAAAGAAAAAAAAAGGAUGAGAAAACAGGAGGCUAUGGGAAGAGAGAAGAUUGAGAGAUACAAGGACAGAGAGGGAGGGUGGGAUAAAGAGAGAGAGAGAUGGGGAAGAGGGCAAGAAGAGCUAGGGAAGCUGGUCCAGGGAUGCAGGAAAAGGGCAUCAAAUUAAGACGCCAUCAAAAGGAGCUGAACACACUUUAUACCCAUUCUACUUCAACACCUACUUCCACUGUAUCUCAAAUAUGCAGUUCUAUGCACACUGAAGACCACAGGAUUUGGCAGUUUUGCCAAACAAAAGGCAGAGAUGAUAAAGCUGUGACAUCACAUAAGCAGACACAAGGUGUCAAAUAAUGAAAAAUAGGCCCACAUGGUAAGAACAUGAUAAAUGUAUUCACAGCCCAGGAGAAAUAGGGGUGGGCAGUCUCCUUGGUAGCUCUUUGGGGCUGCAGUUACUGGUAUGUGCCAAAAUGCCCAGUAAAUGGGGUUCUUGACAAUUGGCCUUGGGCUGAAACAACAAGUCACAUGGUGCUGAUGUCAGCCCUCUCAUUUCCCUUCAACAAUCCACUGCAUACAAGGGCCCACCAUGUCUUCAACGAUAAGGACCCUAUAACGAUGGUAAGGACCACCACAUAUUGCAAGUCUGACUUUGUGUGGCUACUUUAUCUCAUUUAAUCCUCACAAUGAUAAGGAGGUAAUAUAAUCUCAACAUCUGGCUCAUAGUCUUACUGUGCAAUCUGAAACAAAUGAACCUCUCAGCACCUUGGUUUUCUCACUGAUGAAAUAGAAUUAAUAGGAAUGUCUAACUCAGAGGGUUGUUUGGAGGAUUAAAUGAGACAACAGAAAGCACAGCAGGGCCAGAUAUGUCACAUGCACUUAAUCAGUAUUAGGUGAUAUGAUCGUUGAUAUUACCACACUUUAUGGAGGAGCAUAGGAAAUGAAGUAACUCUCCCCAAAUCAAUGGAGAUCAGACCAUAGGCUGGAACCCAGGUGUAUCUAAGGGUACAUGCCACUUGGACAUGAGCUGCGGCUAUUUGUUUUGUUACUCUGUCUGUACGAACUGACCCCAAAGAUCCUGGUCUUUCUAGUGUCCAAUGCAGCCUCCAGGGAAAGGGAAUCCAGAAAAUCAUCAGCCCAACCAGGGAAAGCUAAAGGGAUGCAUUAUUCAGUUCAAGAUAUCUUCUUCUUCCCACUCCCUUGUCCUCAUCAAUGAGAGAAGCAAAGAGUCCUUGUCCAUCCUCUUUUUCACUGACUCUCAUACCCAUAUGGCCCCAUUGACAAAUGCCAUAAGUAUUGAUGAUUACACAAAAUAGACACUCACUCAUUCAGAGAAAGUUAGCUAAAAAGAAGUGUCUUGCCUUGGUGCCCUAAAUCCAUAGAAUUCUGAAUGCCAUUAGAUUUGAAUGUCAUCAGUUGAGUUAUAAAAAGGAAUGUUUUCAGAAGCAUUAGGAGUGGAGAGGAUAAAACACAUCUGUUAAUUUGCCUAUACCCAUCUAUUCACUUAGGGGACACCUACUAUUUACCAGCCAUUGUUGUAAGUGUUCAGGCUACAAUAAUAAAUGAGAUAGACAUGGGUUCUGCCUUCAUGGAACUAGAGCCCCUAGAUGGGGAGACAUUCUUAAUCCAAUAGGGGACUAUAUAUUUAAUCACACUAGUGAUACAUUCUAGGCAAAACAAGUGCUUGAAGCUACAUUCUAGGCAAAACAAGUGCUUGAAGCUAUCAGAGUCUAGAACAAGUAGGGAGAGCUUUCCUGAGGAAGGGCCAUUCAGGCUAAGCAGGAGUUGUCUCAUUGAAGAUGAACUGUCUAAAAGGAGAAAUUUGGGGGAGCUGGAGAAGCCAGGAAGAGAAGAGUUCCAUGCUAACCUGCUAGAUGACUCUAGAAAAGUCAGCUCAGGUCCCCACAACACUUCCAUCAACACAAUAUGGCAGGAAGGAGAACUUAAUGCUCUCCAGUUCUCACAAUUUCUCUUGUUUCUCUUUCCCUAUGUCCAAACUGAGGGUAUACCAGAGAAUGAGAAGAUUCUGGUCCAGGCAAAGGAAAGAAAAACACCUUUUUGGUUAGAAUCAGGCUCUCUCCAAUGUAGGAAGCAAGUAAAAAUUGUCCUGGGAUAGAGAAACCAUCAUUUCUUUUCUCCAUAUUCAACAUCUAAUAUUAAGUUUCCCCACAAGGCUCAAAGCCCAGGGCUCCAACUCCAAAAGAAAGGCCAUGUGCAGAUUUUAUGAUUGGGCAUCCCAGAUUCUGGUUUGGUAGAUGGGCUAUGAUUGAUCUGAAUUCUCCAAUUUUCCUUACCAAUGAAAAUGAAAAGUUAAGACAACUAAUUUCUUCAGGUAGAAAGAAAAACAAUGCACUUGCAAAAAUGACUUUGGUGGCUUUACUGCUAUGAAGCAGGUACCCUAAAAACAACGGCUUUGUUCAGGAGAUACCUGUUGUGGUUGGGCUGUAUGUGAAAUUUUAGUCAGUUUGAUAAGGCCCUCUACUGGCAAUCUCCAAAAACACAGUCUCUUUCAAAUUAUUUUAAGUAAACCAUUUUAACUACUCCUAGGAAUAAAGUAUCUCACAUUCCUGAUUAAGCACAUCUGGGCUGAAAGAGUGAAAAGAAAACGAGAAAGGGAAGAAACAAAUGUCGUCAUUUCAAGUGGGCUAUUCAUUUAGCUAUUCAUAAAAUAACAUUACAUCAAGCAUCAUUUGCUUUCCUCUGAUGAAGCUAUGUUAGAUGUCAGAGGUACUUAGAAACAAAGGCUACACUAAAAUGUCUUGAGUAUUCAUGGAACCGUAAAACUAAAUUAUGAAUGUUAUUUACAAGCUACUAUAUACCAGAUUGUUUUUCUCCAUUUCCCCACACUAUUAUUAGACUAAAAGAAAUGUUGAAGACAGGCCUUUUAAAUUGCUUCUGAUAAAGCACAACUAAUAAUUAACCUCUCCCGCUUGACAACAGACCAAAAUAAAUAAAUAAAAGCAUAUGGCAACUUAAAUUUUAACUACUCAUACAAAAAGAAUAUUUUAAAAGUAAGUUAUGAAGUUAUGGUUUGACACAUUUGUCAAAGAGCUGUUAGAACAAGUGGGAAAAUUUACCUAUACAUUCCUAAAAAACCAAGUCAGUUUUUAAAAAGAGGCAGUUAAUAACUUUAGGAAAGAUUUUUGACAGAAAGGAAAUGGUAUAAUAAUUUCUCUCAACAGUAAAUGUUAUUUACAAUCAUGAUAAAAAUAAGCACCGAAUACCCAUCUAAUCGAAAUUAUGAUAUAAUUUCAUCGGAGGAUAGGGACGGUAUAGAGGGUUUAAGAAAUAUAUAUUGUAAUAUGUCAUAAUAGAAAAUAAAUGAUAAAUAAUUUGACAUUAUAAAUAGACAUAGAGAACAAUUUUAAAAUAUUGCAUAAAAGGUAGGUAAAAGAAAAUCCUCUGAGAAGUAGGACUGGGAAACUGGGUGGGGAGGGUGGUUCAGAUGACUAUUACUCUAUAUAUAUAAACAUUUCAGUACUAUCACUUAAUAUAUGUCAAGUGAUAUACAUACUAAAUAUGUAUGGUAUAGUUUUUAUAUAGUUAUUUUAGUACUAUUUGGCUUUCUAAAUUAUGAGCAUGUUAUUUUUUUUUAUUUUUUGUCUUUUUAGGGCCACACCAAUGACAUAUGGAGGCUCCCAGACCAGGGGUCAAAUUGGAGCUACAGCUGCUGGCCUACACCACAGCCACAGCAACGGAGGAUCCGAGCUGCAUCUUCAACCUACACCACAACUCAUGGCAAUGCUGGAUCCUCACUGAGUGAGGCCAGGGAUUGAACCUGAGUUUUUAUGGAUGCUAGUGAGAUUCAUUUCUGCUGAGCCAUGAUGGGAACCCCCUGUUUUUUGGGUGGUUUUUUUUUUUUUUUUUUUUUUUUUGGUUUCUAAAAACAGAGCAGCACUGAGAAUGGAACCCAUUCAGGACAUAGCUUUUGAACAGGCCUGGAUCAGUGUUCCAAGUUUCCAGAUUCAAUCUGCCAAAUGAAGCAAGGACCCUUCAUGGAAGAGUUUGUCAGGCAUGUAUCACGACAGUAACACUUGUUCCCAUGUUUCAGAACUAACGGCUGGUUUUUCAACACCAUAAUAUUGAUCUGCCAUAUUAUCAUCCAAGUUCCUAUUCCAAAAUGUGUUUGGAACUUUCUUCUUAAACUAAGUCCAUUGAGUUCUUAGAGUGCAUUCAAAUUCUACUCAAAGGAAUCACUAAUCCAGAAAGUUUAUUUCUAAGAGGAGAGAUCUGGUUUCUUGCCCUGAAAAUAUCCAGAUUAAUUAAUGUAACUACUGGGAUGUACCUUGUGUAAUCGAGGCUUCCAAAAUGACAUGACACACUUCAUUAGACAAGUAUGUAUUGGGGCAGAGUCAAUGUUGGGGCUAAUGUUCCAUGUAUCUGAGAGAUUUAUUAUUUCAUCUAUAAAGAAAGCACAAUUGGGAAUCCAAAAUUCCAAAAGCAUUAAACUUUGUAGAAUUAGAGAAGAGAGAAAAACAAGGCUCUAAGGUAUCUUGUACAUAAUGAGUUCUAUGGCUUGACAGUGUUCAGCCUCAACCAUUCUGGCUAUUACAACCACUGUCACAAAAUAAUACUACCACUUCCCUCAGUAAACCCUUCUAGGAUCAACCAAAUGGCCAACCGUUCUUUCUUUCUUUCUUUUUUUGUUAACCUAAGCCCUCUUGAUUACACUCUUGACCAAGCUGACUCAGCCUAUCAAUACCCAUACCAAGCAGGCAAAUAAUCUUGUUGUUUAGCCGUCAACUUGGGCCAACCCGCAAGGGGAUUCAUGUCUGAGACGAAAAGAAAAACAAAAAUAGCAAAGGACUGGGCAUGGAUUUUGACACUUCUGAAAGACUAGAAAAUGUGAAUCACCACUUCAGUCGGUUGGCACCUGGAAGUGUUUAUCUGAUCUGCUGUUCUGCCAGCACCAUCGGUCCAGGACGAAGACAAGGGAAAAAAAAAAAAAAAAAAAAAAA
rnacentral:lncRNA from 1 species